rnacentral:rRNA from 1 species
CGGCUCUUUCGGGAGCAGUGGCGGACGGCUGAGUACCGCGUAGGUGACCUACCCUGGCAGUGGGGAAUAACGCUCCGAAAGGAGCGCUAAUACCGCAGUACGACCACCGCAUCUCGGUGUGGUGAGGAGAGCAGCGAUGUGCUCUGGGAUGGGCCUGCGUCCGAUUAGCUAGUUGGUGUGGUAAUGGCGCACCAAGGCUGCGAUCGGUAGCUGGUCUAAGAGGAUGAUCAGCCAGACUGGGACUGUGACACGGCCCAGACUCCUACGGGAGGCAGCAGUUAGGAAUCUCGGGCAAUGGGCGAAAGCCUGACCCAGCAACGCCGCGUGGGUGACGAAGGCCCUCGGGUCGUAAAGCCCUUUUGCACGGGAAGAUGAUGACGGUACCGUGCGAAUAAGCCCCGGCUAACUACGUGCCAGCAGCCGCGGUAAUACGUAGGGGGCGAGCGUUGUCCGGAUCUAUUGGGCGUACAAGGCUUGUAGGUGGCCACGCGAAGUCGGCUGUGAAAUCUCCCGGCUCAACUGGGA